CAAAAGUGACAAAGCCGUGAUUCCGUGAAUUCCGUUUCUGGUGACUGGUGGCUGACUUUCUGGUGGCUGACUUUCGGACUUUCUCACAAUAAUUUACUACUUUAUCAUUUAUCAAACUCAAACUCACAGUAAUUUAUUUGAGUUCUGCUGCCUUCUGCCUUGCAAAAAGUUGUUAGUCAAUAGUCAUAUUACGCCAUAGCACAGACCCAGAUUGUGAGGCUGCCAUCAGCAAAGUUAUAAUGUUAUACAGAGUUUCAACCCAUUGAAUUUUUUUAUUGUAGCAAUUGUAAAUACCAGUUGUAGGUAUCGAAUUCAUAUGGCAAAUUAGUCAAUUCAUGCGAAAGUUGACUUUCGUUUCUCGAUUGAUCAACCUGUGUUGCCCACGUUUUUCCUGUUUUCCCUAACGUAAUGGAAACAAAGCAGUCAAAUCUCAAAUAAUAAGUAAAUGUUUGAAACAGCCCACAUGCCCAGAUCAGAUGGUGGAAGAAGUGCAGAAAUGAGGCAUGGAUUGUUUCGCCUGUAUUUCUUAGAUUUUUCAAUUUCCCUUGCUUAAAAAAAUGAGUGCUUCUAUAGAUUGUGUGUUGUGUAUUUUCAUUAGGUAAUAUUCAGUAUUCACCCCACCACUUGGCUCCAAUGCAACAGCAAUAAUGAAGUCUAAGCUGUUCAAGUAGGCCUCAGUGUGACUGUCACCGUGACUGUUGAAGUUACCUCUGCGCAUGAAGAGAAACACAUGAAGAAACAGCAACACUUACCUACAUCUACAUGAACUUCCAGACACAAUGUUUGCCUGAUAAAAGAAGAAUUCCAAUCUCCAGUCUACAUGGGGUUGGCAUGGAUUAUUGUUCCAGAUCAGGCAAAAAAUAUCAUUGUUGAAGAAAACCAGUGAGAAGAAUGUCGACAUUGGUGGUGGACAGCAGUGCAGAACGAAAGUCAAUCUAGUUUUUUCUAACAUGUGUAAGCUUCAACCAGUUCACCAGCGAAAGAAGACUCUGGAACCUUCUGGAGUCAUGGCCGACAUAGACGCGAAUGCUGGAUAUUCAUUGCAAAACGCAUCUUUGUCUAAAAAACUUACUUCCGGGAAGGAAUUUGCUUUGGUAAUGAAACACUUGCCAUAGAGGAGAGUAAUAAUACUUCACACUUCUCGAGCCCCUACUAUAGGAUCUGAGGGCUGAGGCAGUGACAGCCAUGAUAUCGCUGACAAACAGUUGCUAUACAAGGAACUCGACGAACAGUUGCUAGAGAGGAAUUUCAAACGAUCGUCAAAGUUGAGAAAGAAGAUGAUGACUCCAUACAAUCAAAUCAAAUUACGUGUUAAAUCUGAACCCAAAGUAGAGCCUCAAGAUUCAUCUGUUACCGGUACACCAACAUCCAACGGAAGUUACUCCACAUGUCCAAGACUAGCAUUAUUGUGGCAUACGCAAAAGGUAACGUACGAUUCAUAGUUCAGUUGGAAUCACUAUCACGAGGAAAGCAGUCGAAAGCUCCUUUAUCAAGUGACGUCGUAUUGAAGUUGGACAUGAAAGUGCGGCACAAGACGUAUGUUAGCCUGUACACGAGAAAUUUCUUUGCAUGAAUUUCUCUUAAAUGAAGCAUUAUUGGCUCUUAACUAGUAAUAAUCUGAACGUGUGUAAGGCAUUUCUACAUUCAAGUCAUUUCUAAAACGACGUCGGUAAGAAAGGUUAGAAAAAGCUAGCUGAACCUAAAGAAAAGAAGUACAAUUCAAGUAAAGAUAUGAAGUAUGUUUUAUUUGUCCCACCUCCAACAAGGUCCCUUGUUUGAAAACCUGUUGGCUGCUACCUAUGAAUCUCCUUUUUUACUUACUUAAACGGGCCCUCUUGAUUGAGGGCAACUCCUCCGCUACUGAUCAUUCACUGGGCCCAACUUCAUCCAUUGGUGAAAGCUGACGAGAGAAUGCUGUAAUUCAAGACUGAUAUGUUGUGUAGUUGUUAGAUAAAUUAAAGGUGCAUAUCUGGGCUCCCUUCUUUUAUGUGGCCUCGUUUCCAUAACUAAUCACUAACCAACGCCCGCCGGUGGUCACUCACUCGCUGCGACAACCAGGAGGAAGGGAGUGGGAUGGUCGAACGGGGACUUGCAAGGCGCAUGAUUCGAUGAAACCUGUUGGAGGGUCAUGAGUCAAUAAAAUGCGCCCUAGCCGGAAGCCUACUAUGAUUAAUCGCUCUCUUAAAAACUGUUCCUCAACUCUUCGCUCUUUUCCGGUUUCUCUUAACCACGACCGUGUCAUCUCCCUGGUCCAGUCAAUCGAGGCAGAGUUUCCCCCUGCUUCGAUUGGCUGCGUCUUGAACCGGACGGUCUAUUUAAUAAAUAAAUCGCCUUUAUUAAAAACAA